rnacentral:misc_RNA from 1 species
GGUAAUAGUAAAUACACACCUCUAUCUCGAGAAAUUAUUCAGUGAGACUGCUAACGCCGGGCCUUCCCCUAAUGCGUGGGGAGUUUGUAUUUUCUGCAUAAUUGUAGUGUGUUCCUCGACCGAGACUUGGAUGCCUUUUCAAAUAUUAAUGAGGUUUCACUCCGAGCACAGACAUAUUAAGAAGGCGGAGGGCAGCUGGGCGGGUGAACUUCCUCGCAAAAAGAAAACAUCUGGACGGUUUUCCCUUAUUGGUGCACCAUUCUU